AAACAAGCAUGAUCGGGGGAUCCUCACCUAUCAUCGUUCUUAACCAGAACACAAAGCGGGAAUCUGGCCGCAAAGUCCAGAUAGGAAACAUUGCAGCAGGCAAGGCUAUUGCAGAUAUUAUUAGAACAUGUCUUGGACCAAGAUCCAUGUUAAAGAUGUUGAUGGAUCCCAUGGGAGGGAUUGUGAUGACCAAUGAUGGAAAUGCUAUUCUAAGAGAGAUAAAUGUACAGCACCCAGCUGCUAAGUCUAUGAUUGAGGUUGCCCGCACCCAAGACGAGGAAGUUGGAGAUGGAACCACCUCUGUCAUUAUCCUGGGUGGAGAGAUGCUCGCUGUGGCUGAACCCUUCCUCCAGCAGCAGAUGCACCCGACAGUGAUCAUCAGUGCUUUCAGACAGGCCUUAGAAGACCUUGUGGAAAUCCUCAGGGAUAAAAUCAGUGUCCCAGUGGAUAUUACCAACCAUGAAGAGAUGAAGAAAAUUGUCAAUAGCUGUGUAGGAACAAAAUUUAUCAGCAAAUGGGCCAAUUUAGCCUGUGAGAUUGCAUUGAAAGCAACUUCCACUGUCUUCUUGGAGGAAAAUGGAAGAAGAGAAAUAGAUAUUAAGAGAUAUGCCAAAGUAGAAAAGAUUCCUGGAGGCACAAUGGAAGAAUCCAAAGUAUUGACAGGAGUAAUGCUUAAUAAAGACAUUGUCCACCCUAAAAUGAAGAGGAGAAUAGAAAACCCGAGAAUAUUAUUAUUGGAUUGCAACUUGGAAUACAAGAAAGGAGAAAGUCAGACAAACAUUGAAAUCACAGAUGAGGCAGAUUUUUCCAAGAUUUUGCAAAUGGAGGAGGAAUACGUCAAAAAGAUCUGCAAUGAAGUGAUUGCUGUCAAACCAGACCUCGUGAUAACCGAGAAAGGUGUGUCAGAUCUCGCUCAACACUUCCUGGUCAAGGCUGGAAUCAGCUGUAUACGUCGUGUCAGGAAGUCGGACAACAAUAGGAUAGCAAGGCAAGUGAAGGGAAUUGUUUUAGCAACAUUUAACAGUUUUUGGGAAAAUAAAUUACGAGAAUCAAGUUUUUUCAUGCAAGAAUUGAAAAUUGCAAAUUUUGAUCUGACAUUUAUACUAUGUGUCCUUUAGAAUCAUUUUUAUUUGUGGUGGUUCAAUUUUUAAUUUUGGAUUUCAUUGGUCUACUUCAAAAAUUUAUAGGAAUGAAUAAAUUUUUAUUUGAUUAUGGAAUAUAAAAACAUUAAUUCAAUUAUUCUAUUGGAAAGUCCAUGAUAUUAUGUCCCCCUGUACCUUUGAAAGUUGACAAUGAAAAAUGGCCUUUUUGAAAUACAUGUAUAAAGAUUCCACUAUAUCCUAGUUGUUGAAGAAGUGAGAACCUUGUGAGCCAUUUAAGUGACAGUUUUAUUUUCUCUGUUUACUACAGGGCCUGCGGUGCCACUAUUGUCAACAGAACUGAUGAAAUCCGAGAGGAAGAUGUAGGAACAGAAUGUGGUCUCUUCUACAUUGAGAAGUUCGGAGAUGAGUACUUUACAUUUUUGGUAGAGUGCAAAAACCCCAAAGCUUGCACAAUCCUGCUGCGCGGCGCCAGCAAGGACAUUCUGAAUGAAGUGGAGCGUAACCUCCAGGACGCCAUGAACGUGACUAGGAAUGUGAUGCUGGAGCCCUACCUUGUCCCAGGGGGAGGGGCGGCCGAAAUGGCACUGUCUCAGGCUUUGAAUGAGAAGGCCAAGAGUAUUACAGGGAUACACCAGUGGCCGUACCGCGCAGUCAGCAGAGCUCUAGAAGUGGUUCCUAAAACUCUGAUCCAGAACUGUGGAGCCAGCACAAUUAGAACUCUAACAGCCCUCAGGGCUAAGCAUGCAACUGCCAAUAACACCAGUUGGGGUGUGGAUGGGGAGACAGGAAAAGUGGUGGAUAUGAAGGACUAUGGAAUCUGGGAACCAUUUGCUGUCAAAGUUCAAACCUACAAAACGGCAAUAGAGACUGCAGUGUUACUCCUGAGAAUUGACGACAUCGUGUCUGGAGUCAAGAAGCAGGGAGACUUGGCAGCCGCCUCCGGGGGUGCCCCUAGUGCCCCGCCCCAGGCAUCUGAGGGACCAGAACCAGAGUAAAAAUGAAAAAAAAAUGGAACCCUUGCAGUGGCAAUCUGAUGUCUGUAUGACACUGUGUUCAUCUCGCUUGAAUCAGUCCCCUCUAUUCGUGAACAAAUAUUUUGGAUGCUUGCAAAUGUAAACUAUGACUUAGUUUUUGCCUAUUUCAUGGGGCAAUUUGAUGUAUUUUGUAUUUCAUAUUUAUCAAAUAAAACCACUUUGUGAAAAUGGAAAUAAAAUUCCUGUAAU
rnacentral:misc_RNA from 1 species